AGAACCGACGCCGGAGAACCGAGUCCCCAAUCUAAACCGUUGAAUAGCUCGAGGCAAGGUGCUCUCACGAAUCGCACCUUCCUAUCUCGACAAAACGUUCAAGAACUUCAGCGCUAUCUGGUUAAGUUCUGAAGUGAAGGCGGCCAAGAUCGGCGUUCAAAUCGGAGUUUAAAGAUAACGUGAUUUUCGGACUUGUGAAGAAAAUUCCAGAAUUGUUGGAAUCCAUUCCGUCAAGAAAA